UACGUAGAGUGCAAGCGUUGUCCGGAAUUAUUGGGCGUAAAGAGCUCGUAGGCGGUCUGUCGCGUCGGAUGUGAAAAUCCAGGGCUUAACCCUGGGCCUGCAUUCGAUACGGGCAGACUAGAGUUCGGUAGGGGAGACUGGAAUUCCUGGUGUAGCGGUGAAAUGCGCAGAUAUCAGGAGGAACACCGGUGGCGAAGGCGGGUCUCUAGGCCGACACUGACGCUGAGGAGCGAAAGCGUGGGGAGCGAACAGG
rnacentral:rRNA from 1 species